UACGUAGGGGGCAAGCGUUGUCCGGAAUCAUUGGGCGUAAAGAGCGUGUAGGCGGCCCGAUAAGUCCGCCGUGAAAGUCCAGGGCUCAACCCUGGAAUGCCGGUGGAAACUGUCGGGCUGGAGUCCGGAAGAGGCGAGUGGAAUUCCUGGUGUAGCGGUGAAAUGCGCAGAUAUCAGGAGGAACAUCAAUGGCGAAGGCAGCUCGCUGGGACGGUACUGACGCUGAGACGCGAAAGCGUGGGGAGCAAACAGG
rnacentral:rRNA from 1 species